rnacentral:rRNA from 1 species
UGAGCAACCUGCCCCCUACUUCGGGAUAAGCCUGGGAAACUGGGUCUAAUACCGGAUAUGACUCCUCAUCGCAUGGUGGGGGGUGGAAAGCUUUUUGUGGUUUUGGAUGGACUCGCGGCCUAUCAGCUUGUUGGUGAGGUAACGGCUCACCAAGGCUUCGACGGGUAGCCGGACCUGAGAGGGCGACCGGCCACACUGGGACUGAGAUACCGGCCCAGACCUCCGUACGGGGAGCAG